UUUCUUAAGGUGAACACUUCCUUUCUUCGCCAAGAUCGUGGGAGAGAUGUCGGCGCCGCAACAAGGAGGGCAAUUCUCGCGUGUGCCGCCUAUGAACGCCAAGCCGCAAAGGAUGACACCCGUUGGGUUUAAUUCAGGGCCGGGCAUGGCGGCGGUUAGGCGAGGGAGGAACACCCGCAACAACGUCUUGGCUCUCGGGUUAGGAAUUGCCGCCGUAGGAAUCUAUGCCUACACCAUGUAUUCUUUCUCCCAAGAUGUCUUGCUGAAUGAGGUAGAAGCAGAAGCUGAAGUCAUCCGAGCACAGAAAGCAAAGACCUCAUUGGAUUGAGGCUGAAAUAAUUGAAGAAUUGCCCAUUUUAGAGGUUUAAAGUCAGCAUUCCUCUUUGUGUGCUCAGACUCUACUUGAGGAAAUGUUAUGCAAAACUCUAUGGAUAACACCCUGCAUUUCAAGGAGUUCACUGAUAACAUAUAUUGCCAUGUCUAAACUAUAAAAGGCAUUUAAUACCUUUAUCUGUUGUGUGAAACUCCAAUAAACAAGCUCAAUAGAG